AUUUCUGUGGGGUUAGUCUUGAUUAUGUUUAUGAAAUCUUGGUUUCAUGUUUGUUUGUCAUCUGUUGUCCAUCACAUGUUUGUCUUCAUGGAUUUUGCUGUGCCAUGUUCUUAUUUGCUCUGUUCUAGCAAUUGUGUGUGGACAGACAGUGAAUAAUUCUGCAUGGAUAUGGGCUGUUGGAUGUCUAUACUUCAAAUUGCCUUUUUUUGUUGUUGUGUUGUUUGGGGGGGGAGAGGAGGAUAUUUAUGCCUGCUUGUGAAUCGGGAUGGGUUUGGACUGUUGGAGUGUGAGAGGGAGUCUAUGCAUGACA
rnacentral:misc_RNA from 1 species